rnacentral:rRNA from 1 species
UACGGGGGGGGCAAGCGUUGUUCGGAAUCACUGGGCAUAAAGCGCACGUAGGCGGCUGAGUAAGUCGGAUGUGAAAUACCUCGGCUCAACCGAGGAACUGCGUCCGAUACUGCUCGGCUUGAGGUCCGGAGGGGAGAGUGGAAUUCCCGGUGGAGCGGUGAAAUGCGUAGAGAUCGGGAAGAACGCCGGCGGCGAAAGCGACUCUCUGGUCGGAAUCUGACGCUGAGGUGCGAAAGCUAGGGGAGCAAACGGG